rnacentral:rRNA from 1 species
GCGUGAGUGAUGAAGGUUUUCGGAUCGUAAAGCUCUGUUGCCAGGGAAGAACGCUAUGGAGAGUAACUGUUCCAUAGGUGACGGUACCUGAGAAGAAAGCCCCGGCUAACUACGUGCCAGCAGCCGCGGUAAUACGUAGGGGGCAAGCGUUGUCCGGAAUUAUUGGGCGUAAAGCGCGCGCAGGCGGUCAUGUAAGUCUGGUGUUUAAACCCGGGGCUCAACUCCGGGUCGCAUCGGAAACUGUGUGACUUGAGUGCAGAAGAGGAAAGUGGAAUUCCACGUGUAGCGGUGAAAUGCGUAGAGAUGUGGAGGAACACCAGUGGCGAAGGCGACUUUCUGGGCUGUAACUGACGCUGAGGCGCGA